rnacentral:misc_RNA from 1 species
UCAAACUUGGUCAUUUAGAGGAAGUAAAAGUCGUAACAAGGUUUCCGUAGGUGAACCUGCGGAAGGAUCAUUAUCGAGUUAGGGUCUUCUCAGGCCCGACCUCCCAACCCUAUGUUUACUGAACCACUGUUGCUUCGGCGGGCCCGUCGUUUUACGACCGCCGGAGGACCACUCUGGUCCUCUGGUCGCGCCCGUCGGUAGCCAACCUUAUAAACUCUUGUAUGAAUCGUGUCUACAAUCUGAGUACUAUAUGAAAUAAAAGCAAAACUUUCAACAACGGAUCUCUUGGUUCUGGCAUCGAUGAAGAACGCAGC